rfam:Vibrio parahaemolyticus 16 ctg_1108854221811, whole genome shotgun sequence.
AGAUAUCGUUUAACUAUCAGGGUCCAGCAACAAAAAACCCCGACUUUUCGGGGUUUUUUGUUAUCUAAAUUUUCCCAAUGGGAAAAUUUGGUGUUUUGCUUGGAAUUUAAAUUGGGCUCUGAGCCCUUUUUUU